rnacentral:rRNA from 1 species
CCUAUACUGCAGUCGACGAACUCUGGUAUUGAUUGGUGCUUGCAUCAUGAUUUACAUUUGAGUGAGUGGCGAACUGGUGAGUAACACGUGGGAAACCUGCCCAGAAGCGGGGGAUAACACCUGGAAACAGAUGCUAAUACCGCAUAACAACUUGGACCGCAUGGUCCGAGCUUGAAAGAUGGCUUCGGCUAUCACUUUUGGAUGGUCCCGCGGCGUAUUAGCUAGAUGGUGGGGUAACGGCUCACCAUGGCAAUGAUACGUAGCCGACCUGAGAGGGUAAUCGGCCACAUUGGGACUGAGACACGGCC